UCUACCUAGUAGUAUGGAAUAGCCAUUAGAAAUGAUGGGUAAUACUGUAUAAUCCCUGCGGGGGAAAGAUUUAUCGCUAUUAGAUGAGCCUACGUUAGAUUAGCUAGUUGGUAAGGUAAUGGCUUACCAAGGCUAUGAUCUAUAGCUGGUCUGAGAGGACGAUCAGCCACACUGGAACUGAGAUACGGUCCAGACUCCUACGGGAGGCAGCAGUGGGGAAUAUUGGACAAUGGGCGAAAGCCUGAUCCAGCUAUGCCGCG
rnacentral:rRNA from 1 species